UACAGAGGUGCCGAGCGUUAGGCGGAAUUACUGGGCGUAAAGCGCGCGCAGGCGGCCCGCGAGGUGUCACGUGAAAGCCCCGGGCUCAACCCGGGAGGGUCGUGGCAAACCGGCGGGCUUGAGGCCGGUAGAGGUGGGUGGAACUCCUGGUGGAGUGGUGAAAUGCGUAGAGAUCAGGAAGAACACCCGUGGCGAAGGCGGCCCACUGGGCCGGUACUGACGCUGAGGCGCGAAGGCGUGGGGAGCGAACGGG
rnacentral:rRNA from 1 species